CGACCAGGUUCAAGUGAAUGAGCAGCUGACAUACGCAACGUCGAUCAGUCAAAAAGUCAAAAUACAGUGUUCUGAUUGGUCUAGACGCUUAUUUCUAUGAAAAUAAGCGUUUUGUUUCGAUUUUGACUGAUCUGUGGGGAGUUCUGACCGAUUUACAAAAGUCAGGGGCGCACCAUUAGUCGGAAUAUCAUUAAUAUUUGACGCGUGCUAAGGUCUUUCCGAGCGCCCGCUCAUUCAAAGUGUCAUGUUGGAGUUUUGUGGAGAUAUUCAAUUAUUUCAAGAUUUCUACGGAAAAUUCGGAAAUGUCUGCUACUCCUUGUAGUAUUUAUGAAACGGUUCAAUCCGCAUUUGCGGUGAAUGAUUUAGCUGUCUUACAAGUUUGUUUGGCUGAUCUUGCCAGGAAAAUCGACGCUAUAUCGGAGAGUUCGAUUGAGCAGUCGCUAGGCGCCAUGAGCAGUAAACUACAGUUUGAGUAGAAGUAUUGGCGCCGAGAUCUUUAUUCUGAAGAGCGCACAAUACAAUACAAUAAGGUAUAUUUAAUGUGAUAUGUCACUCAUUUUAUUUCGUUUUAGGCAGUAUAACAAUAUUCAUAAGCGAACCGUGGCAAGAUGCGCGCAGGGACGUCGC